AAUGAUUAUGUGAAUCGAGGAUGAUAUCGUACUCGUAACAGCUCAGAUAUGCCCUUUUCUUCUGCAUUCCCUCUUUUCCCUCUUACCCUCAAAAGUUUACCCGAUUCGGCACUUCAAGUACUGCGGCUUAUGAUCACGAUCACGAUAUGGAGCGCACAUCUCCCCCGCCCCACAAACGCCACUUCAGCGCCGCCAAUAGCUUCUUCAACCUAUCUCGGUUUACGAUCACCAGUUGGAAAAGCUUGAUUUCGAAACAAGCACGCCGCAGUCGGGCUGGGGAAACGCUACCCCAAGCUAUGUGAGAAGGAAGGCACCGCUCUCGCCCCGCACACGACUCACUCUGGUUCUCGAGGUUGAAAGAAAGAAAGAGCAAGCGAUCCAAGUGCUUCGGCCUCGCUAAACAGGUUAGCGAAUAAAAACAAUUGAAGGACUUCGAGAAGCAAUUUUUAGAUCGAUGUAGCAGCCAACUAUUUCAGGAUCAAUUUUGUGCUUCGGAUGGGUCUGUCUAUAUUCUUUGGCGUCAUUUCUUUUAUGGUAUUUUGUUAUGCUGCAACAAUGUCGAAGCUUCUUCCAGAAUCAGGAAAUCAGAUAUUAUUAUCCAUUCAAAAUGACUGGUAAAUAUUACAUAUCUCGGUCCACUUGUGGUAAAAAUGAGUUUAAGCAAAUUGCAUAUUACUACUUCUGAAUGGAAUUAGCUUAGAUAAAGUUGUCCAUCAUGCUUGUCCAUAA